CAGAAAAGAGCAUGGUGGGACCUGUGGUGUCCUUUAUGACCUCACCUUGGAAGUCAUAUGCUACUCUCCAGCAGGUCCACUCCGCUUGUUCUGUCUGCUCUACAGUAUCCCCACAAGGAAGCGUCAAACCGAAACUCCCCACACAUCAGAUGAGGAGCCACCAGCCGACUUCACUCACAUGCCUAGGCACAAAAAGCUUUGCUACCUACUUACUUCAGUGGAUACUUUUUCAGGUUGGAUAGAUGCCUUCCCGACCUCCAGAGAAAUUGCUGGCACCAUCGCCUCCAUCCUUAUCGAGCAGAUCAUUCCCAGUUCUCCUGAGAGCCUGAGAACAUUAUAGCUAGAAACUCCAGAGGAAUCAUCUAGCCCAAACCAAUUCUACAACUACUGGGAAAAUGGAAGAGUGGAGCAGCAACAUCUACAUGGAGAGAGGUUAAGCUGAGACCUCAGCUUCCACUCCACGAUGCUUCCUAUUAGCUGUGCUUUCUCUUUGCAGCGUGUCCAUUUUACUAAAUAACAGGUGUCCUCUGAGUUUCUCAUGUCUAACCAGCUGCUGGGCAUCAUACUGGGCUCUGUUCCUAGUCUGAUCCCUCUUGUACAUGUGACCUCUUUUGUUCUUUCAGCCACAAAUUGCAAUUCUUAUGUAAACCUAUGUUCAUUAGAUAUGUCUACCCUUCACCAGAUCAA